GACGAAGGGGGCUAGCGUUGUUCGGAAUUACUGGGCGUAAAGCGCGUGUAGGCGGUUGUCCAAGUUGGAUGUGAAAGCCUUGAGCUUAACUCAAGAAAUGCAUUCAGGACUGGAUGACUAGAGGACCGGAGAGGAUAGUGGAAUUCCCAGUGUAGUGGUGAAAUACGUAGAGAUUGGGAAGAACACCAGUGGCGAAGGCGGCGACCUGGGUCGAGACUGACGCUGAGGCGCGAAAGCGUGGGGAGCAAACAGG
rnacentral:rRNA from 1 species